UGAGCUCCAAAAAGAAUGCUCCAAGGAAGAUAUCCAGGGACUUAUUAUACUUCACUUUAGAGCUGUGAUAGCAGCUUGCCUGAAUUGAGAUAUUUACCUUUUCAAUUCAGUCCUGGUGGCAUAGCAAUGUUUGCUGCUCCAUAUUCUGGAAAUAAUGUUGAUUGGGCUAAUGUGUAAUAUUUGCUAUGGCAACUUCGGCCAUCUCCUUGCUAUAUGUAUACAUGGAUUAUUUGGGACUAAACACACAAACCCAGUGAUCCCAAGGCAACUAGAGUAUGUCAAAUCUCAUCCAUACUCCC
rnacentral:lncRNA from 1 species